UCACUGCUGUGAGACCUGUACAGGCAAGC
rnacentral:sRNA from 1 species